AAAUGUGUCAAUUACUUUGAUCGAUCUUACUAUAAUUCUGGUGUAAAUUAAAGUGAAACUAAAAGGAAAUAUCGUUAUCAAAGCAAAAAGAGAAACAUAAAUUAUAUAGAUUUUUCAACAUUUACUUAAGAUGAUAAUUGAACAAGCAAUGAUAAAAUUAACAAAAGUGAAUUUAUCAAGUCUCUUUCGAUUAAUCGAAUUCUAUCGAUAAUCGUAGAUACUAUUUUUCGAUCCUAAGCAAUUUAAGAGUUACACGAUUUGUCGAAGUUAAGCUUGUUUAAAUGCAAGCAUGACGAUUACCUAGCAAUGCGUGCAAUUGCAUAGAGUGCACCUUGACCCAGCAGACCUGGCUUUGAUCGCGGUUAGAAUUUGCGUGCGAAUCAAGAUUAAGUAUCCAGUUGGCCCAGCUAACCUUUAGAGAAUAAGAUGAUAAUGCUUGAUAAUAAAAAAUGGUUAAAACUCUAUAGAGUUUCAAAAAAUAUUCAGAUUAAUAAACGAGAAACAAGGUCGAUAAGAUUGGACAUCGGUUUACGAUCGUGCACCUACCGUGCAUCCAUGUCUUUCCAACAGGCUGAUUUAUGCGUUGGUUAAACCUCUUUCGAGGAUCAUACUGGGGGCUUCUGAUGACUGAAACUCGGUUUACGCUCGCUUCGAUCAACUUCGAUCAAGUCUAUAUAAUUCAUAUCUGCAUUUUCGUUUUAACAAGGGAAAUUGGAUAGAUCAAUGGAAUGCAAUUACUUCAUGAAUGAUAAUCAAAGGAAGGCGUUUCAUUUCUUUUUUUUUUUAAAUCAAAUUUUUUUGAAGAUUUCUGGUUGCCAAAUUUUGAAAAGUUAAAAAAUUUUCUAUUUUUAUAUUCGAACCAAUAUAAUACAAUAAUUCCACUAGAAAAGGGUUCAAAAGAAAGGCUUUUCGCGAUUUCUCAUGCUAACAGAGUUACGUAGACCACGUAGAGGAAAGUCGGCACCUUGAAAACGAGCAUUGACUAUGCCUACGGAAGAAGGUCGGCCGGUUUUAGUUUGCGUUAUAUUUAUCGCCGCUUGUAAUCGAUAGUUCGUCUCUCAGGUAAACAGUGUAGGAGCAAUCGUUAUUUCGGGGAGAAGAGUAUGUCGCCGCAUUGGCCCCGUACUUGAACCACUUUCCGCACAAUUCUAAACGCGAUUAAGACCAGCUUCGCGCGUCAUCGGUACAAACAGCGAUUCCAUCACAAUUUACAUUAUUCAUUUAUUGAUUCGAUUAUAAUUGCAAAAAUUCAUCGAUCACGAUCAUUUAUUAUAUUUUUUUUAAU